rnacentral:rRNA from 1 species
UACGGAGGGUGCAAGCGUUGUUCGGAAUUAUUGGGCGUAAAGCGCGUGUAGGCGGCUAGAUAAGUCUGAUGUGAAAGCCCGGGGCUUAACCCCGGAAGUGCAUUGGAUACUAUCUGGCUAGAGGGUCGGAGAGGGAAGCGGAAUUCUUGGUGUAGGGGUGAAAUCCGUAGAUAUCAAGAGGAACACCGAUGGCGAAGGCAGCUUCCUGGCCGACUUCUGACGCUGAGACGCGAAAGCGUGGGUAGCAAACAGG